UAUGAAGAUCUAAAGCCACCAACAUCUCCUACUCCAACCCCUAGCGUCGGGACAGGUUCGACCAAAGAGAGCAAAGCCAUGUCAACAGUGGUAGCAAAUGAUUCACCAUCUUCUUCUUCCGAAAUUAAUUCUUCAGAAAGCUCAAUCCCUGACACGGAUAGCACAACUCAACGGACAGACAAAAAGAAAACAACUCCUUCCUCUCCUUAUAUAUUGUAAGCUCAUUCACAGCCUCCACUUUAAUUUUCACUGUUGUUGACUUUAUAUAAGAUGUAAAGACACCCCAGAAUCUUUCAAGUAGAAUCAUCAUGGUCCACAGUAUUACGGAAUUUCAGAUUCAUGGUGGCAGAAUCCGAUAGGC
rnacentral:lncRNA from 1 species